rnacentral:rRNA from 1 species
AUUGAACGCUGGCGGCGUGCCUAACACACGCAAGUCGAGCGGUAACAGGUGUAGCAAUACAUGCUGACGAGCGGCGAACGGGUGAGUAAUGCUUCGGAAUCUACCCAAUGGUGGGGAAUAACCAGCCGAAAGGUUGGCUAAUACCGCAUACGUCCCACGGGAGAAAGCAGGGGAUCGCAAGACCUUGCGCCAAUGGAUGAGCCGAAGUCGGAUUAGCUAGUUGGUAGGGAACGGCCUACCAAGGCGACGAUCCGUAGCUGGUCUGAGAGGACGACCAGCCACACUGGGACUGAGACACGGCCCAGACUCCUACGGGAGGCAGCAGUGGGGAAUAUUGGACAAUGGGGGAAACCCUGAUCCAGCGACGCCGCGUGUGUGAAGAAGGCCU